CAAAGUACUUUGAAGAGAGAGUUAAACAGGGCGUGAAACCGCUAGCUGGUAAACGAGUGGAGCCACGAAGUCGUUUCGUAGAAUAAAGAAUACAAAUUCAGUCAAUGUUUCGGCAUUGAUGCACUUUUGUUUAUUCUUCUAUGUAUGCGUACACUGCAACCAAUUAGACAAUUAAUUGUGGAAACAGUUAGUAACUGUAGGUAGCUUGGUGUGGUCCUUGUGGCCAUUUUGAGUGUCUGACAUGUUACUAUGAGAACUACAAUUAAAUACUGAUUGGCACAAUGAAAAUCCAUAACUGGUAUUAGAUAACACUGGCAGUGUUGUAUGUGUGUACAAGUAUUUAUUAUCAGCGUAAGCUUAGUAGUUUUAAAUUUAGGCUGGCAGGCUACCUUUGAUUUCGGUCUUUGGUGCCUGUUUAGUUUCCUAUCUAAUUGGCUAUUAACUUUGCUGGUGAUCUUGUGCUUGCUAUGAUCGCAUAUAUGCAACAAUUGUCUAGUUAUUAUAUUGGCAGUGAGUAGGUCGGCUUUCCACACGACCCGUCUUGAAACACGGACCAAGGAGUCUAGUUAAGUAUCGAGUUGAUCGGUCUUGAUUAGGCCAGAAUGAGGGAUUCCUCUCGAUUGAAAGCAAAGUGAUAUGUGAUCCUAUCUCUAUAACAUAGACUAGGCGCAACAUAUACCCAUUCGUAUAACUAUACGCCAAGUGUAGUUGGGUGGAGUAAAGAGAUACUUGACUGGUACCCGAAAGAUGGUGAUGCCUGGGCAAAUUGAAGCCAGAGGAAACUCUGGUGGAGGAUUGCGAUUCUGACGUGCAAAUCGAUCGUCAGACCUGGGUAUAGGGGCGAAAGACUAAUCGAACCAUC
rnacentral:rRNA from 1 species